rnacentral:rRNA from 1 species
CCUACGGGGUGCAGCAGUGGGGAAUAUUGCACAAUGGGGGAAACCCUGAUGCAGCGACGCCGCGUGAGUGAAGAAGUAUUUCGGUAUGUAAAGCUCUAUCAGCAGGGAAGAAAAUGACGGUACCUGAUUAAGAAGCCCCGGCUAACUACGUGCCAGCAGCCGCGGUAAUACGUAGGGGGCAAGCGUUAUCCGGAUUUACUGGGUGUAAGGGGAGCGUAGACGGCAGCACAAGUCUGGAGUGAAAUGCCGGGGCUUAACCCCGGAACUGCUUUGGAAACUGUGCAGCUAGAGUGCAGGAGAGGUAAGUGGAAUUCCUAGUGUAGCGGUGAAAUGCGUAGAUAUUAGGAGGAACACCAGUGGCGAAGGCGGCUUACUGGACUGUAACUGACGUUGAGGCUCGAAAGCGUGGGGAGCAAACAGGAUUAGAUACCCCAGUAGUC